UGGGGAAUCUUGGACAAUGGGGGCAACCCUGAUCCAGCAAUGCCGCGUGUGUGAAGAAGGCCUUAGGGUUGUAAAGCUCUUUUAGCGGGGAAGAUAAUGACGGUACCCGCAGAAUAAGCCCCGGCUAACUUCGUGCCAGCAGCCGCGGUAAUACGAAGGGGGCUAGCGUUGUUCGGAAUUACUGGGCGUAAAGCGCACGCAGGCGGAUUGAUAAGUCAGGGGUGAAAUCCCGGGGCUCAACCUCGGAAUUGCCUUUGAUACUGCCAGUCUUGAGUCCGGGAGAGGUGAGUGGAAUUCCUAGUGUAGAGGUGAAAUUCGUAGAUAUUAGGAAGAACACCAGUGGCGAAGGCGGCUCACUGGCCCGGUACUGACGCUCAGGUGCGAAAGCGUGGGGAGCAAACAGGAUUAGAUACCCUGGUAGUCCACGCCGUAAACGAUGGAUGCUAGCCGUUGGGGAGCUUGCUCUUCAGUGGCGCAGCUAACGUCUUAAGCAUCCCGCCUGGGGAGUACGGUCGCAAGAUUA
rnacentral:rRNA from 1 species